GACGGAGGGGGCAAGCGUUGUCCGGACUUACUGGGCGUAAAGGGCCCGUAGGCGGCCUGAUGCGUCGGUGCUGAAAGCGCCCCGCUUAACGGGGUGAGGCGUGCCGAUACGAUCAGGCUCGAGGCAGGCAGAGGGUGGCGGAAUUCCGGGUGUAGUGGUGAAAUGCGUAGAGAUCCGGAGGAACGCCUGUGGCGCAAGCGGACACCUGGGCCUGACCUGACGCUGAGGGGCGAAAGCGUGGGGAGCAAACCGG
rnacentral:rRNA from 1 species